UGUGGGAACCUCCGAUUUACAGCCGGUCGGUCAGAAACCCUGGUGGCCACCUGGCCGUGCACUGGUGUCUGAAGUGGGUUUGGGGGACAGUCCUCUGCUACUGAGCCUCCCCUGUGGGUCCAACACUACCUCCAAAUACAGGUGAGAAAAAUAACAACAACAAUACUAAUAAAUAAAACAAGAAACAGAUGCAGACACUGCCUUCCCAGAACUUAUGGAAUCUAGCAGGGGGCCAGAAAAGGGAAGAAGGGCCCAAGCAGACUGGCGUGCUCUUACCCUACCACUGGACGCUGAGGCUCCUCACCCAGCGGUGGAAAAUCUCUGAAAGGAGCAGAUUUGGAAAAAAGCACGUAAAACUGCUAUUUGGUUUGGGAUUUGCGGAGCAUGUCAUCUAAGCAAACGUGUACAGAGGCCGCUGAACAUACUUGACCAGAGUCAGAUGAGGGUCGGAGGCUGGAGAUGGCGCUCUGGGAAGCCUCCAGGGCAAGGCCAUUGUCAAGGAGACCGAGAAAGGAGUCCACGGCUCCUGGAGAACGCAGACCCCAGACCCCGUCGGUGUCGCCCUCCUCCGCGCUCUCACGUCGCUGAACGAUGCCUACCCCGAGGCAGAAGGACCUCUCCUAACACAACCUGAAGUUCUGUUUACCCGCGGAGGGCGAGUCUGCCCUUUGGACACAGGCCACUUGCAUGACGGCCGUGAACGGUACUUCCCAGGGGUAACACGGCAGGACCAGCACCAGCAGUCUCCCCACAGUCGGCAGGGGCGAGUGAGAGGCCCGAGGAGGCCUUCCUGGGCCUCAGUCAGCCCACCGCUCCCGCCCAUCCUUUUCCUCACACAGGGACUCCCCACCGGAUCCCUGUGAGGGCUGUCAUUCCUCGCCUUUCUCUGUAACUGAUUAGAAUUUGUACCUCUUCCAGCUCACCGCAGCCCAGCUCCUUCUCCAAGAAUCACUCGCAAGUGCGCAUCUGACCCAGGAACCAGACUUCUCUAACUCUUCCAGGCUCCACCUCUGUUCUUUCGACUUAGUAAAAACUGUUUAUUACUUA